rnacentral:rRNA from 1 species
GGAUUUUCUCUUCGGAGGCUGGAGACAGGUGCUGCAUGGCUGUCGUCAGCUCGUGUCGUGAGAUGUUGGGUUAAGUCCCGCAACGAGCGCAACCCUUGUCCUUAGUUGCCAGCACGUCAAGGUGGGAACUCUAAGGAGACUGCCGGUGUUAAGCCGGAGGAAGGUGGGGAUGACGUCAAGUCCUCAUGGCCUUUAUAUCCAGGGCUACACACGUGCUACAAUGGUACCUACAAAGAGUAGCAAUACCGCGAGGUGGAGCGAAUCUCAAAAAAGGUAUCUCAGUUCGGAUCGCAGUCUGCAACUCGGCNGCGNGAAGUUGGAAUCGCUAGUAAUCGUAGAUCAGCGUGUACGGUGAAUUCGUUCCCGGGCCUUGUACACACCGCCCGUCUC